UUGGGAGGGGCUUGCGACCUAUCAGGUAGUUGGUGGGGUAAUGGCCUACCAAGCCUAAGACGGGUAGCCGGUGUGAGAGCACGAUCGGCCAGAGGGGGACUGAGACACGGCCCCCACUCCUACGGGAGGCAGCAGCAGGGAAUCUUGCGCAAUGGGCGAAAGCCUGACGCAGCGACACCGCGUGGGGGAAGAAGGCCUUCGGGUUGUAAACCCCUUUUCCCGGGGAAGAGUAAGGACGGUACCCGGGGAAUAAGGUUCGGCUAACUACGUGCCAGCAGCCGCGGUAAUACGUAGGAACCGAGCGUUGUCCGGAUUUACUGGGCGUAAAGUGCGCGUAGGCGGUUUGUUAAGUCUCAUGUGAAAUCUCCCGGCUCAACUGGGAGGGGUCAUGGGAAACUGGCAGGCUUGAGGGCAGCAGAGGAAAGCGGAAUUCCCGGAGUAGUGGUGAAAUGCGUAGAUACCGGGAGGAACACCAGAGGCGAAGGCGGCUUUCUGGGCUAUUCCUGACGCUGAGGCGCGAAAGCGUGGGGAGCAAACCGGAUUAGAUACCCGGGUAGUCCACGCCCUAAACGAUGGAUACUAGAUAUGGGGGGUAUCGACCCCUCCCGUGUCGCAGCUAACGCAUUAAGUAUCCCGCCUGAGGAGUACGGCCGCAAGGCUAAAACUCAAAAGAAUUGACGGGGACCCGCACAAGCAGCGGAGCGUGUGGUUUAAUUCGAUGAUAAGCGAAGAACCUUACCAGGGCUUGACAUGCUUUUGAAAUUCCCGUGAAAGCGGGGACCUCCUUCGGGACAGUUGCACAGAUGUUGCAUGGCUGUCGUCAGCUCGUGCCGUGAGGUGUUGGGUUAAGUCCCGCAACGAGCGCAACCCCUGUCGUUAGUUAGAAUGUCUAGCGAGACUGCCCCUGAACAGGGUGAGGAAGGUGGGGACGACGUCAAGUCAUCAUGGCUCUUACGUCCUGGGCUACACACACGCUACAAUGGCCGAUACAAAGGGUCGCCAAGGAGCGAUCCGGAGCUAAUCCCAUAAAGCCGCCCCCAGUUGGGAUUGCAGGCUGCAACUCGCCUGCAUGAACGUGGAGUUGCUAGUAACCGCAGGUCAGCACACUGCGGUGAAUACGUUCUCGGGUCUUGUACACACCGCCCGUCACGUCAUGGAAGUCGGCAACACUUGAAGUCGCUGGGCUAACCCCGAU
rnacentral:rRNA from 1 species